rnacentral:rRNA from 1 species
UAGGGAAUAUUGCAAAAUGGGCGAAAGCCCGAUGCAACAACGCCGCGUGGGCGAUGAAGGCCUUCGGGUCGUAAAGCCCUUUUUGAGGGGAUGAGGAAGGACAGUACCCUCAGAAUAAGCCUCGGCUAACUACGUGCCAGCAGCCGCGGUAAAACGUAGGAGGCGAGCGGUAUCCGGAUUUACUGGGCGUAAAGCGCGUGCAGGCGGAUUGGAGAGUUGGAUGUGAAAGCUCCCGGCUUAGCUGGGAGAGGUCGUUCAAUACUUCCAGUCUUGAGUGCAGUAGAGGGAAGUGGAAUUCCGGGUGUAGUGGUGAAAUGCGUAGAUAUCCGGAGGAACACCAGUGGCGAAAGCGGCUUCCUGGACUGUAACUGACGCUCAGACGCGAAAGCUAGGGUAGCAAACG